GUGGGUAUAGCUCAGUUGGUAGAGCGCCAGAUUGUGGUUCUGGAUGUCGCCGGUUCGAGCCCGGUUACCCACC
rnacentral:tRNA from 2 species